CCUGAGGACCCUAGGAGACUCCCGGGAGAUGAAGGAGAGUUGGUUGGCUGAGCUUCAGAAACAGUUUGAUCCUUGGGGUUUAAGACAGACAUCAGCAGAGCAGGGUCAGCCACAGGAAAGCAGGAAGGGAAAGUGCAAAAUGGGACGAGAGCAACAGGGGUGACCCCAAAACUGUGGUUCUCAACUUGUUUCCACCUGAGUGACAACAUUGGGACAGGGACCCUCUAUUAUGUGGUGGGUGUCCGAGAGUUUGAGGACCACUGAUCUGGACCAGAACAUGGUGGCCAGAGGACGCAGAGAGAAAGUUUAAAAGGCCUUUGUUUUUCAAGUUCACAAGACCAUUUCCUGAGGGACUAGACAAAAUCGAUAUAAAGUUGCUGUGACACUGAAGGAAAGGAAGAGAGAAAGAACCGAAAGUCCUGCUUAAAUAAACUCAAGGGAAGCCAAUGGGGUAACUUUCGUGAUGACAUACUCCUGCAAAGAUGGCGUGGGACAUAAUUCUCAUGGAUGGAGGUGAACAUGACUGUCCCUUGAUACAAGGGGUAGAAUUGAUUGGGUUGCUGUUGUCCUUUGAGAAUCACCACCCGACUCUAUGUGGCUGUUUCUUCAAUUGCAAAAUGAGAGAGCAUGUUUCCUUUUUAAUCAGCAAUAUUACCCUUAAGGAAACCUUGAAGGGCAGUUCUAUUAUUAAAUAUCUCAAGCACA
rnacentral:lncRNA from 1 species